rnacentral:rRNA from 1 species
AGUGAACGCUGGCGGUAGGCCUAACACAUGCAAGUCGAACGGCAGCACAGUAAGAGCUUGCUCUUACGGGUGGCGAGUGGCGGACGGGUGAGGAAUACAUCGGAAUCUACUUUUUCGUGGGGGAUAACGUAGGGAAACUUACGCUAAUACCGCAUACGACCUACGGGUGAAAGCAGGGGAUCUUCGGACCUUGCGCGAUUGAAUGAGCCGAUGUCGGAUUAGCUAGUUGGCGGGGUAAAGGCCCACCCAGGCGACGAUCCGUAGCUGGUCUGAGAGGAUGACCAGCCACACUGGAACUGAGACACGGUCCAGACUCCUACGGUAGGCAGCAGUGGGGAAUAUUGGACAAUGGGCGCAAGCCUGAUCCAGCCAUACCGCGUGGGUGAAGAAGGCCUUCGGGUUGUAAAGCCCUUUUGUUGGGAAAGAAAAGCAGCAGGUUAAUACCCCGCUGUUCUGACGGUACCCAAAGAAUAAGCACCGGCUAACUUCGUG